rnacentral:rRNA from 1 species
AACGAACGCUGGCGGCGUGCCUAACACAUGCAAGUCGUACGAGAAACACAUCCUUCGGGGUGUGGAGUAAAGUGGCGGACGGGUGAGUAACACGUGGGUAACCUGCCCUUGGGACUGGGAUAACUGGCCGAAAGGCCCGCUAAUACCGGAUAAGACCACAUAAGUUUCGACGCAAGCGGUCAAAGUCGGCCUCUCAACGAAGCCGGCGCCUAAGGGAUGGGGCCCCGCGGACCAUUAGGCUUGUUGGUAGGUAACGGCCUACCAAGGCUGAGAUGGUUAGCUGGUCUGAGAGGAUGAUCAGCCACACUGGAACUGAGACACGGUCCAGACUCCUACGGGAGGCAG